GAUGAACGCUGGCGGCGUGCCUAAUACAUGCAAGUCGAGCGAACAGAUAAGGAGCUUGCCUCUUUGAAGUUAGCGGCGGACGGGUGAGUAACACGUGGGUAACCUACAUAUAAGACUGGGAUAACUUCGGGAAACCGGAGCUAAUACCGGAUAACAUUUAGAACCGCAUGGUUCUAAAGUGAAAGCUGGUUUUGCUAUCACUUAUAGAUGGUCCCGCGCCGUAUUAGUUAGUUGGUAAGGUAACGGCUUACCAAGGCGACGAUACGUAGCCGACCUGAGAGAUUGAUCGGCCAAACGGGAACUAGAACACGGUCCAGACUCCUACGGGAGGCAGCGGUAGGAAAUUUGGCGCAAUGGGGGAAGGCCUGACGGAGCAACGCCGCGUGGGUGAUAAGGUGUUUCGACUCGUAAAACUCUGUUAUUAGGGAGGAACAAAGGUGGAAGUAACUGUGCACAUCUUGACGGUACCUAAGCAGAAGGCCACGGCUAACUACUU
rnacentral:rRNA from 1 species